AUGAAAUGAACAGGCUAAGAGUACCAAAAAAAUUGAUGAAAACAAUCCAUUUCUUAACAACAGGCAAAAUAUUUUAACAAAUUUAUGGUGGCAAUACAAUAUAUUGACCAAAGUCAAAUUACUAAGGAAAACUUUGUUUCACCAUAAUUGACAGUUGUCAUGGCACAAAAUGGAGAACGAGGUUCCAGUGCACUCAAACAUUCCUGAUUCUCUGCAUAAGUUUAGGCAGUCAUUUCCAAUGUUCUGCAUUAUGGUACCUUCAAACAUUCCUGAUUCUCUGCUUAUGAAUACCUUCAAACUGAACCCCUUGCUCCAAAUUAUAGGUCAUUUAAUCUUGGUUCUAAAUCAGACCUGUCCAACAGAAGUUCUGUUCAGUAACCACCUACGAAUAAGAGAUCCAUAGCUGAUGGCAAUACUCUGAAUAGCAGUACCCGUACUGGAAAUAUAAUUGAGGGGAACAAACAUGAGUAUGUAAAAAUGUGAUUUUAAGAAUAUUGAUUAUUGAAUGACCAACUGUAUUUCUAUACAGAUUUAUUCAGCCUACAUGUAUGUACUUCAAUGUAGAAUGUGUAUUAUUUUGUAUGCCAUCUGCAUACUCUGGAAUAAAUAGCCAAAGUAAUUCUGUUAGCAUAGCCUCCUAUUUCAUAGAAGUAUACCACAGAAUAUUUUCAAACAAGAGGAGAAAUUGGGCACGUUCCCAAUUAAUGGAAGAUGACAAUCAUGCCAUCUGUUCAGCCUGUGCAACAUUUCUUAGAUGAUCAUGUGUGGCAGAAAACUUAAAAUAUGGGGAAAAAAUCCAUGAUCAGGUUCAAAUAACAGAAUAAAAACAAGAGGUAAUGAUAUAGGCAACACCAAAUUUUAAUGAGAAAUGUGUAGAAGGCAAUGAUCAUACCUUCUUUGUCAUGCUUGAUGGAGAGAAGCUACUUUUGGCACCAGAUUUAUCCUUAUUGUCCAAUGGAUUGGUGGCUCCAAACUGAAAUAUCAUAUGCAGAAGAGUUGGUCAGAAUGCGGCGGACACAGUUCAGGCCCAAAGGACAACUAUAAUCUUUUACCGCAUGGAUUUAUAGACCUCUUCAGCUAAUGCAAUUAGUUUGGAUGGAGCAUAGUACUAAAAUUUUAAAAAUAAAUCAGGGCCUCAUUUCUCACAAACUAUAUUUACAAUUAGUAUGAGGAAUAAAGCCACUCAUCUAAAUUUUAUAUCAUUGGUAAAUCAAAGCACCUAUAAAACAUCGUGGCACAUGUAGAUACUGCAUAGUGCCUUUUAUAUAU
rnacentral:lncRNA from 1 species